AAAAAAAGAAUUUCUUUUAAGUAUAAAUAUAUAUUUCUACGUAUAUAUUUAUACGUAAGUCUGUUAUUGCAAUUAGUAUAACUUGGACAUAAUUCAAUAAAUUGUAUUUCUUUGUUGUUUAAAAUUACGUCCUGUUAUCGAGGGCUCAGAGCGUACUACUCGGUAGUACGACAAACAGUAUAAGCCAACUUGUUACCAACGAAGUACCAUUAGCGUCUCUCAA